AGUCAAGUAAUUAAGUGCAUGUGGUGGAUGCCUUGGCAGUCAGAGGCGAUGAAAGACGUGAUAGCCUGCGAAAAGCUCCGGGGAGGCGGCAAAUAUCCUUUGAUCCGGAGAUGUCUGAAUGGGGGAACCCACCUACUUUAAGGUAGGUAUUGCAACAUGAAUACAUAGUGUUGCAAGGCGAACGAGGGGAAGUGAAACAUCUCAGUACCCUUAGGAAAAGAAAUCAAUUGAGAUUCCCUCAGUAGCGGCGAGCGAACGGGGAUCAGCCCAUUAAGUUAUGUGUGUUUUAGUGGAACGCUCUGGGAAGUGCGAACGUAGAGGGUGAUAUUCCCGUACACGAAAGGGCACACAUAAUGAUGACGAGUAGGGCGAGGCACGUGAAACCUUGUCUGAAUAUGGGGGGACCAUCCUCCAAGGCUAAAUACUCCUGACUGACCGAUAGUGAACCAGUACCGUGAGGGAAAGGCGAAAAGAACCCCUGUGAGGGGAGUGAAAUAGAUCCUGAAACCGCAUGCAUACAAGCAGUGGGAGCACCUUCGUGGUGUGACUGCGUACCUUUUGUAUAAUGGGUCAGCGACUUAUAUUCAGUAGCGAGGUUAACCGUAUAGGGGAGCCGUAGAGAAAUCGAGUCUUAAUAGGGCGUUUAGUUGCUGGGUAUAGACCCGAAACCAGGCGAUCUAUCCAUGAGCAGGUUGAAGGUUGGGUAACACUAACUGGAGGACCGAACCCACUGUCGUUGAAAAGCCAGGGGAUGACUUGUGGAUAGGGGUGAAAGGCUAAUCAAGCCUGGUGAUAGCUGGUUCUCCCCGAAAGCUAUUUAGGUAGCGCCUCGGACGAAUACCAUAGGGGGUAGAGCACUGUUUCGGCUAGGGGGUCAUCCCGACUUACCAAACCGAUGCAAACUCCGAAUACCUAUGAG
rnacentral:rRNA from 1 species